rnacentral:lncRNA from 1 species
GUAAUGGGGCCAAGGACAAGGGAGGAUAAAUGUGGAUAAGAAGCUACAAACCAAAAGAAAUAGAGGAGCAAUGGGGAACAAGUGUAAACACAGUCAAAUCACACCCAAAACCUCUAAUUCAGUCCUCUUCUUGACUCCAUUAUUCACACAAUUUUUUUAUUUUUCCUCACUUUUCUGCAUUUUUUUUUCUUUGUUUUUUUUUUCAUCUUGUCUCUUUUCUUUUCUCUCUUUUCAGAACACA